GACGAACGCUGGCGGCGUGCCUAAUACAUGCAAGUCGAGCGGACUUAAAAAGCUUGCUUUUUAAGUUAGCGGCGGACGGGUGAGUAACACGUGGGCAACCUGCCUGUAAGACUGGGAUAACUUCGGGAAACCGGAGCUAAUACCGGAUAAUCCUUUUCUACUCAUGUAGAAAAGCUGAAAGACGGUUUACGCUGUCACUUACAGAUGGGCCCGCGGCGCAUUAGCUAGUUGGUGGGGUAACGGCUCACCAAGGCGACGAUGCGUAGCCGACCUGAGAGGGUGAUCGGCCACACUGGGACUGAGACACGGCCCAGACUCCUACGGGAGGCAGCAGUAGGGAAUCUUCCGCAAUGGACGAAAGUCUGACGGAGCAACGCCGCGUGAGUGAUGAAGGUUUUCGGAUCGUAAAACUCUGUUGUUAGGGAAGAACAAGUACGAGAGUAACUGCUCGUACCUUGACGGUACCUAACCAGAAAGCCACGGCUAACUACGUG
rnacentral:rRNA from 1 species